GGAGGGGUGCGAGAGUGGUUGAAUCGACUGGUCUUGAAAACCAGCAGGCGUGCAAGCGUCUCGUGGGUUCGAAUCCCACCCCCUCUGCCA
rnacentral:tRNA from 1 species